rnacentral:misc_RNA from 1 species
UUUUUUAUUUAAAAAAAAGAAUAUUUAUCCUCAGUAGUUACUUGAUAUAUCAACAAUGCACAACCGAAUCAAGGGCACAAGCAUAUUAGACAGAUUUCAUGACAAGAAAUACAUUUAUCCUACAACCAACAUAAUCCCAGAAGAUCAGUUCUAUGUUUAGAAUGCUGGGCUUCACAGCCUAAAGAGAUUUUAGUACCUCAGCAAGCAGUAAGGUAGGAAACUAUUUCUUCAUCCUAAAACAAGUGUUUACUUCUUGUACAUAGUUAUACCAAAAACGUUUGGAGCUAUUUUUCCAUCGAUUCCUUUAGCAAAUUGUAAGAUGAUCAAACCUCAAUCUUUAAUAAACAAUUUUCUGAACUCAUCAUUGGACUUUGGCUGCUCAUCUCCCUCUUCCACGGUUUUAGGUUUGUUCAUCUUCACAUUUCUUGGUACUAAAAAUGUACUCUUGCCCUUGAGCUGGAUGUUGUCAUCUCGCUUAUAAGAAGCAAAGUUUGUUGUCUCUGGUACCUUGGAUUCCUUGGAAGUUUCAUCAGACAUUUUAGACGCAAAUUCCCCCUUGUUACCACUUCGGUCAGUAGAGUGUGUGUGUUGCUUCAAAACAUUACGACCAUCUUUUUUUCUUUGAUUAGGAUCUGAACGUGCAAUGCUUAGCUUCUUCCCAAGUAACAUCUGCUUGUUCUUUGAUAUGGCUGCAGCUAGAUGUUCAUCAUCUGAAAAGUCUACAUAUGCCAGUCCCCUGGAUUUUCCACUAAACUUAUCACGCAGUAUCCGAAUAGAAACAACCCCACCAACAUCACUGAAGAAUUUACGCAAAUCUUCAGAAUUUGCCUUUAGAUUAAUAUUUGAUAUAAAUGCAGUGCAUUGGUCUGUAUAUACUUUGUUUCUCCCAGUGUCAGAGUCUUUCUGCUGUUUUUCAAGGAUGCUAUCUGCCUUUUCAACACUGGCUUUGACCUCUUUUUCUUCAGUUACUUCAGCUGGAUUUUGUGCUUGAUCUUUAUUUUUCUCAUACCCUUUAUUUUGGGUUUGAGCUGUUGGUUUUUGCCUCUUUGCUGGAGACUGUUCAUCAGUAGAUUCUUGACCUCCCUUUCUCUUUUCACGAACAUUUUUCUUAAUUGGAUUGUCUUUCUGCUCUGUUGAUGCAGCAAAUGCUUUUGAUUCCUGUUGCAUCCUAUAUAAUUGUAGCUCUUCCAGACGAGGGGUAACCUUUUGCAAAGCGUGGUCAAAAUCUUCCAGAGUACCAAAUUCCCUCUCAAAGCGCAACCAAGAGUGGCAAAUGUCCUCAGAGCCUGUCCCAGGAAACCUUUUACUAUAGCAUCUCUUAUAGAUGGACCUUGCUUCUUUUAUGUGACCCAAUUUAAUUUCCAUUGCUAUAUAACCUUGCCAAGNCUUCCAACAUUGAACCACUGAUCUUAAGCAAGCUCCCCCAACCCCCGCGGGCUGCCACUAAAUCUUUUCCCAAAUUCAGCUCUAAAAGGGACCAAUAAGCAUGCAGACGAAGCAAACCAUCCGAGUUCUUUAGUUGUGGUGAUAAAUAAUCUGAUGCAAACUGAAAGGUCUCCCUUAUCAAUGAAUAAUUCAAGACAUUCUCUGCUUCACUGCCAAACAAAAUUCUUCGUCUCAAGCCAUCUAUCCGCGUGAGAAAUAAAUCUAGGUACUCUUCAAGUGUCGAAAAAGUGCAUUGAAGGGACUUUGCAAAGACGCCAGAUAUCUCUUUUUCAGAAGCACGACCUCGUUCCAAGGUAAGCAAAUACCUAACCCAAAGUUCUCCAACACAGGGACAAUUUCUUGUGGCCCUCAAGUAAACAUCUCUUACAACAUUUCCUGCCUUCAAGGUCUUGUCCAAAUAGCGAGUAUAAUCCAGCCACAAAUCAUUUGAUAUAGGAAAAUCAGUAAUAGCACGUUCAUAUAAAACUU